rnacentral:tRNA from 1 species
GCGCCUUUGGUGGAAUUGGUAGACACGCAUCGUUCAGGUCGAUGUGCCUCACGGUGUGGGAGUUCGAGUCUCCCAAGGCGCACCA